rnacentral:rRNA from 1 species
GACGAACGCUGGCGGCGUGCUUAACACAUGCAAGUCGAACGGAAAGGCCCUGCUUUUGUGGGGUGCUCGAGUGGCGAACGGGGGAGUAACACGUGUGUAACCUGCCCUUGACUGUGGGAUAACUUCAGGAAACUGGGGCGAAUACCGGAUAGGAGCUCCUGCUGCGUGGGGGGGGUUGGAAAGUUUCGGCGGAUGGGGAUGGACUCGGGGGUUAUCAGCUUGUUGGUGGGGUAGUGGCUGACCAAGGCUUUGACGGGUAGCCGGCCUGAGAGGGUGACCGGCCCCCUUGGGCCUGAGAUACGGCCCAGACUCCUACGGGCGGCAACAGUGGGGAGUCUUGCACAGUGGGCGGAAGCCUGUUGCAGCAACGCCGCGUGCGUGAUGCCGGGCUGCGGGUUGUAAACCGCUUUCGCCGGUGACGAAGCGUGAGUGACGGUAAUGGGUAAAGAAGCACCGGCUAACUACGUG